rnacentral:tRNA from 1 species
GAGCGUAGCUCAGUUGGUUAGAGCGCUUGCCUGUCACGCAAGAGGUCGCGAGUUCGAGCCUCGUCGUUCC